rnacentral:rRNA from 1 species
UGCAAGUCGAACGAACUCUGGUAUUGAUUGGUGCUUGCAUCAUGAUUUACAUUUGAGUGAGUGGCGAACUGGUGAGUAACACGUGGGAAACCUGCCCAGAAGCGGGGGAUAACACCUGGAAACAGAUGCUAAUACCGCAUAACAACUUGGACCGCAUGGUCCGAGUUUGAAAGAUGGCUUCGGCUAUCACUUUUGGAUGGUCCCGCGGCGUAUUAGCUAGAUGGUGRGGUAACGGCUCACCAUGGCAAUGAUACGUAGCCGACCUGAGAGGGUAAUCGGCCACAUUGGGACUGAGACACGGCCCAAACUCCUACGGGAGGCAGCAGUAGGGAAUCUUCCACAAUGGACGAAAGUCUGAUGGAGCAACGCCGCGUGAGUGAAGAAGGGUUUCGGCUCGUAAAACUCUGUUGUUAAAGAAGAACAUAUCUGAGAGUAACUGUUCAGGUAUUGACGGUAUUUAACCAGAAAGCCACGGCUAACUACGUGCCAGCAGCCGCGGUAAUACGUAGGUGGCAAGCGUUGUCCGGAUUUAUUGGGCGUAAAGCGAGCGCAGGCGGUUUUUUAAGUCUGAUGUGAAAGCCUUCGGCUCAACCGAAGAAGUGCAUCGGAAACUGGGAAACUUGAGUGCAGAAGAGGACAGUGGAACUCCAUGUGUAGCGGUGAAAUGCGUAGAUAUAUGGAAGAACACCAGUGGCGAAGGCGGCUGUCUGGUCUGUAACUGACGCUGAGGCUCGAAAGUAUGGGUAGCAAACAGGAUUAGAUACCCUGGUAGUCCAUACCGUAAACGAUGAAUGCUAAGUGUUGGAGGGUUUCCGCCCUUCAGUGCUGCAGCUAACGCAUUAAGCAUUCCGCCUGGGGAGUACGGCCGCAAGGCUGAAACUCAAAGGAAUUGACGGGGGCCCGCACAAGCGGUGGAGCAUGUGGUUUAAUUCGAAGCUACGCGAAGAACCUUACCAGGUCUUGACAUACUAUGNAAAUCUAAGAGAUUAGACGUUCCCUUCGGGGACAUGGAUACAGGUGGUGCAUGGUUGUCGUCAGCUCGUGUCGUGAGAUGUUGGGUUAAGUCCCGCAACGAGCGCAACCCUUAUUAUCAGUUGCCAGCAUUAAGUUGGGCACUCUGGUGAGACUGCCGGUGACAAACCGGAGGAAGGUGGGGAUGACGUCAAAUCAUCAUGCCCCUUAUGACCUGGGCUACACACGUGCUACAAUGGAUGGUACAACGAGUUGCGAACUCGCGAGAGUAAGCUAAUCUCUUAAAGCCAUUCUCAGUUCGGAUUGUAGGCUGCAACUCGCCUACAUGAAGUCGGAAUCGCUAGUAAUCGCGGAUCAGCAUGCCGCGGUNAAUACGUUCCCGGGCCUUGUACACACCGCCCGUCACACCAUGAGAGUUUGUAACACCCAAAGUCGGUGGGGUAACCUUUUAGNAACCAGCCGCCUAAGGUGGGACAGAUGAUUAG